GGUGAACGCUGGCGGCGUGCCUAAUACAUGCCAGUCGAGCGAACGGACGAGAAGCUUGCUUCUCUGAUGUUAGCGGCGGACGGGUGAGUAACACGUGGAUAACCUACCUAUAAGACUGGGAUAACUUCGGGAAACCGGAGCUAAUACCGGAUAAUAUUUUGAACCGCAUGGUUCAAAAGUGAAAGACGGUCUUGCUGUCACUUAUAGAUGGAUCCGCGCCGCAUUAGCUAGUUGGUAAGGUAACGGCUUACCAAGGCAACGAUGCAUAGCCGACCUGAGAGGGUGAUCGGCCACACUGGAACUGAGACACGGUCCAGACUCCUACGGGAGGCAGCAGUAGGGAAUCUUCCGCAAUGGGCGAAAGCCUGACGGGGCAACGCCGCGUGAGUGAUGAAGGUCUUCGGAUCGUAAAACUCUGUUAUUAGGGAAGAACAUAUGUGUAAGUAACUGUGCACAUCUUGACGGUACCUAAUCAGAAAGCCACGGCUAACUACGUG
rnacentral:rRNA from 1 species